rnacentral:tRNA from 1 species
GCGCCAGUAGUUAAAUGGUAUAAUACGGCCUUGCCAAGGCUGUGUCCCGAGUUCGAUUCUCGGCUGGCGCA